rnacentral:tRNA from 1 species
GGGAGAAUUCCCGAGUGGCCAAAGGGGGCAGACUGUAAAUCUGUUGCGCUUCGCUUCGGUGGUUCGAAUCCACCUUCUCCCACCA